CCCCUUCCCCUCUUCCAAUCUCAGUGUUCCCUCCAUUUCCCGCCGCGUUCUCCGGGCCCAACCGCCACUUCCCCCUCGGCGACCACGGCCGCGGCGUCCGCCGCCGGGCGAUCCAGCGCUUCCCUCCCCGCACGGACCCGCCCUGGAUGGCCGGGAGAGCCUCUUCGGUGGAGCGCGUGAAGGAGCGUGCCACCGGCCUCGACAAGUUCGUCCUCAGCGAGGCCCACGGCAGCUCCGUCGAGGUAUACUUAUAUGGAGGCCAGGUAACCUCUUGGAAAAAUAACUCUGGAGAACAACAGCUAUUUGUCAGUAGGAAGGCUUCUUUCAAACCACCAAAAGCGAUUCGUGGGGGCAUACAAAUUUGUUUUCCCCAAUUAGGGAACCACGGAUUUCUUGAACAGCAUGGAUUCGCGAGGAACCGACUUUGGAGUGUUGAUGAGAGUCCUCUUCCAGAUACCACUUCUGAUUGCCAUAUUGACUUGAUACUCAAGCAGUCUGAAGAAGAUUUGAAGACCUGGCCACACAGUUAUGAACUUCGUUUGCAAGUUGCUCUUAGCCCGAGGGGAGAUCUGAUCCUCACAUCUCGAAUAAAAAAUAAGAAUGCCGAUGGCAAGCCAUUCCAAUUUACUUUUGCAUACCACACAUACUUCUCAGUCUCUGAUAUCAGCGAAGUACGGGUUGAGGGUUUGGAUACCUUGGACUAUCAUGAUAACCUGCAAUCUAAGAUUCGUUGCACUGAACAAGGCGACGCAGUUGUAUUCGAAUCUGAAGUGGACAGGAUAUAUCUAAGUGCCCCAUCCAAGAUUGUGACAAUUGACCAUGAGAAAAAAAGAACAUUCGUUUUGAGGAAAAGGGAACUUCCUGAUGUUGUCCCAAUCUGCCCACCAGAGUUCGACUCUGCAUGAGGCGGAAUGUAAUCUGCGCCGUGCAGUGACUGGUGUCAGUUGUUUGGAACCCAUGGGACAGGAAAGCAAAAGCGAUGCCGGAUUUUGGUGCCGAGGAGUACAAGUGCAUGCUGUGUGUAGGGGCUGCACGUAUUGAGAAGCCAAUUACUUUAAGGCCUGGUGAAGAGUGGCAAGGAAGGCAGGAAAUUUCCUCUGUGCCAUCCAGUUACAGCAGUGGACUGUUGGAUCCUGAAAUGAUUAAACAGAUGCAACGUAUGUAGAUCUUUUGGUGGUUGAAUGCUAUGAAGUCUCGUCAGUGUCAAUAAGAUGAUCUGAAUGUUCUUCAACCAACUUCCAGCUUUCCUUUUUUGUGUACAAAAUUCCAAAGUAGCCUGUGGUUUUUCUGGAGCAGCAUUGGAGUUGAAAUCUCCAUUUUCCUUUAAAGGAGAUGGAGAAUUUUUGUCUAUCUUUAGGGACUUUAUGUACAUUCAUAAUCAGUCGCUUUACAUUACGCCAAUUUUGUUUGCCCGGUUAUAGGAGGCUGAUUUGAAACUGCACAAAUAGUCUGGUAUCCUUUUUGAGUUGUCUCGUGUCAUAUUGCCGCACUUCACCUGUAUGGUGUGUAAUACUCCCUCCGUUUACUAUUAUUAGACGUUUUGAAUA